UGGCAACGAUAGCGCGGUGGUCCCACCUGACCCCAUGCCGAACUCAGAAGUGAAACGCCGUAGCGCCGAUGGUAGUGUGGGGUCUCCCCAUGUGAGAGUAGGGAACUGCCAGGCA
rnacentral:rRNA from 1 species